CAAGGCGACGAUCUGUAGCGGGUCUGAGAGGAUGAUCCGCCACACUGGAACUGAGACACGGUCCAGACUCCUACGGGAGGCAGCAGUGGGGAAUUUUGGACAAUGGGGGCAACCCUGAUCCAGCCAUGCCGCGUGAGUGAAGAAGGCCUUCGGGUUGUAAAGCUCUUUCAGCCGGGAAGAAAUCGUACAGGCUAAUACCCUGUGCGGAUGACGGUACCGGAAUAAGAAGCACCGGCUAACUACGUGCCAGCAGCCGCGGUAAUACGUAGGGUGCGAGCGUUAAUCGGAAUUACUGGGCGUAAAGCGUGCGCAGGCGGUUUUGUAAGACAGGCGUGAAAUCCCCGGGCUUAACCUGGGAACU
rnacentral:rRNA from 1 species